rnacentral:rRNA from 1 species
GUGCCAGCAGCCGCGGUAAAACGUAGGACGCAAGCGUUAUCCGGAGUUACUGGGCGUAAAGGGCAGGCAGGCGGACUGCUAAGUUGGGUGUGAAAUCUCCCAGGCUUAACCGGGAGGGCGCAUCUGAGACUGGCAGACUGGAGGGCAGCAGAGGAGCGUGGAAUUCCGGGUGGAGUGGUGAAAUGCGUAGAGAUCCGGAGGAACACCAGAGGCGAAAGCGGGGCUCUGGGCUGCACCUGACGCUGAACUGCGAAAGCCAGGGUAGCGAACGGGAUUAGAAACCCCGGUAGUCCUGGCCGUAAACGAUGCCAACUGGGCGUUGGGGCGGACAGCCUCAGCCCCGGAGCGAACGCGGUAAGUUGGCCGCCUGGGGAGUACGACCGCAAGGUUAAAACUCAAAGGAAUUGACGG